AACGUAGGUGGCGAGCGUUAUCCGGAUUUACUGGGCGUAAAGGGUGUGCAGGCUGCCCCUCAAGUGGUGUAUGAAAGCACCCGGCUCAACCGGGUCAUGGUAUGCCAGACUGAAGGGCUAGAGAGCGAGAGCGGGACGUGGAAUUCCGGGUGUAGUGGUGAAAUGCGCAGAUAUCAGGAAGAACACCAAUGGCGAAGGCAGCUCUCUGGGACGGUACUGACGCUGAGAAGCGAAAGCAUGGGGAGCGAACAGG
rnacentral:rRNA from 1 species